rnacentral:rRNA from 1 species
AUUGAACGCUGGCGGCAUGCUUUACACAUGCAAGUCGAACGAGUGGCGCACGGGUGAGUAAUACAUCGGAACGUGUCCUAUCGUAGGGGAUAACUGAUCGAAAGAUCGGCUAAUACCGCAUACGAUUGGAGCGGCCGAUGCCCGAUUAGCUAGUUGGUGAGGUAAAGGCUCACCAAGGCGACGAUCGGUAGCUGGUCUGAGAGGACGACCAGCCACACUGGGACUGAGACACGGCCCAGACUCCUACGGGAGGCAGCAGUGGGGAAUAUUGGGCAAUGGGCGCAAGCCUGACCCAGCAACGCCGCGUGAAGGAAGACGGUCUUCGGAUUGUAAACUUCUUUAGACAGGGACGCGGUACCUGUAGAAGAAGCCACGGCUAACUACGUGCCAGCAGCCGCGGUAAUUC